rnacentral:rRNA from 1 species
UACGUAGGGUGCAAGCGUUAAUCGGAAUUACUGGGCGUAAAGCGUGCGCAGGCGGUUAUGUAAGACAGAUGUGAAAUGCCCGGGCUUAACCUGGGAACUGCAUUGUGACUGCACGGCUGGAGUGCGGCAGAGGGGGAUGGAAUUCCGCGUGUAGCAGUGAAAUGCGUAGAUAUGCGGAGGAACACCGAUGGCGAAGGCAAUCCCCUGGGCCUGCACUGACGCUCAUGCACGAAAGCGUGGGGAGCAAACAGG